rnacentral:tRNA from 1 species
UCUAAUAUGGCAGAAUAGUGCAAUAGAUUUAAGCUCUAUAUACAAAGAAGAAUAACUUUUAUUAGAA